rnacentral:tRNA from 1 species
GGGCGGAUACCGAAGUGGUCAAACGGGGCAGACUGUAAAUCUGCUGGCCUUGCGCCUUCGAAGGUUCGAUCCCUUCUCCGCCCACCA